rnacentral:rRNA from 1 species
ACGGAAGGCAGCAGUGGGGAAUAUUGGACAAUGGGGGAAACCCUGAUCCAGCGAUGCCGCGUGAGGGAAGAAGGUUUUCGGAUUGUAAACCUCUGUCAACAGGGACGAAAAUGACGGUACCUGUGAAGGAAGCUCCGGCUAACUACGUGCCAGCAGCCGCGGUAAUACGUAGGGAGCAAGCGUUAUCCGGAAUUACUGGGUGUAAAGGGAGUGUAGGCGGGACUGUAAGUCAGAUGUGAAAUAUGCCGGCUCAACUGGCAGACUGCAUUUGAAACUGCGGUUCUUGAGUGAAGUAGAGGUAAGCGGAAUUCCUAGUGCAGCGGUGAAAUGCGUAGAUAUUAGGAGGAACAUCAGUGGCGAAGGCGGCUUACUGGGCUUUAACUGACGCUGAGGCUCGAAAGCGUGGGGAGCAAACAGGAUUAGAUACCCUGGUA